rnacentral:miRNA from 1 species
AUGCAUGUCACCUGGGGAUCUUGUUAAAAGUGUAAAUCCUGUUUCAGGAGAUCUGGGUAGACUCUGAGAUUCUAAUAAGCUUCCAAUUGACAUUGAU